AAAGAGUAACUGUAUAUUACAUUUUUUUGAGUCAGUGGUAAGGGAAUACAAGACCUCUAUGCUUAUUGGGGAUAUGGACAUAUCUAGACUUAUUAUUCAUGGUUAGAUAAUUAAGAAAGGGAAGAUAAAAAAGAGAGGGAAACUAAAAUAACAAGAAAAUGUAAUUCUUACGGCUUUUAAUAGAGGUCAGGUAAUUGAAAUCAAGGUCAAUUUCAAUAGAGGUAUU
rnacentral:lncRNA from 1 species